AACGGUGAGUAUGAUGAUUCAAUUAGAUGUGUGAAUGGAGAAAUUCUCCAUUAUGAGCACAAAAACUUUUAUUUGGCAAUAUUAAUCUGACUUCGCCGUC
rfam:Arabis alpina cultivar Pajares Aa.chr3_contig_823, whole genome shotgun sequence.